AUUGAACGCUGGCGGAAUGCUUUACACAUGCAAGUCGAACGGUAACAGGUCUUCGGAUGCUGACGAGUGGCGAACGGGUGAGUAAUAUAUCGGAACGUGCCCAGUCGUGGGGGAUAACGUAGCGAAAGUUACGCUAAUACCGCAUACGAUCUAUGGAUGAAAGCGGGGGAUCGCAAGACCUCGCGCGAUUGGAGCGGCCGAUAUCAGAUUAGGUAGUUGGUGGGGUAAAGGCUCACCAAGCCAACGAUCUGUAGCUGGUCUGAGAGGACGACCAGCCAUACUGGAACUGAGACACGGUCCAGACUCCUACGGGAGGCAGCAGUGGGGAAUUUUGGACAAUGGACGCAAGUCUGAUCCAGCCAUUCUGCGUGCAGGAUGAAGGCCCUCGGGUUGUAAACUGCUUUUGUACGGAACGAAAAGGUCUCUCCUAAUACGAGGGGCUCAUGACGGUACCGUAAGAAUAAGCACCGGCUAGCUACGUGCCAGCAGCCGCGGUAAGAC
rnacentral:rRNA from 1 species